GAUGGGAGAGAGAUCAGACAAAAUGUCUGUCACCACAUUCUUCACUCGGGUUGAUUCUGCUCAUCCGGGUGGCCAGGGGGCUGCUCUUGCCUCUAUCACCGUCAUGUGCCCUCUACAAAGCUGUGUGUUUGCUUGAAGAGGAUCGCUGGCCCUGGACAGACGAGGACCAGUCUUUGGUCAAGGAUGUACAAAUAGCUAUGUUCUUUUGCUAAAACCUGCAAAUUGACUCUCCAAUUCAACAAGCAAAAGGACCAGUGAUGAAGCUCCGUGGGGGGAGUAUUUGCCUAGCAU
rnacentral:snRNA from 1 species